CCCGGGCCUUGUACACACCGCCCGUCACAUCACGAAAGCCGGCUGUACUAGAAGUCGCCGCUCCGACCCGUAAGGGGGGAAGGCGCCCACGGUAUGGUCGGUGAUUGGGGUG
rnacentral:rRNA from 1 species